rnacentral:tRNA from 1 species
AUUUAGAAAGAAAUAAAAUUAAUAUAAUAUAUAUAUAUAUAUAUAUAUAUGUUUAUAUUUAUAUUACAUUAAAUAAAUAUCUAAAUUUAAGUAUAUCAUUUACAAUGAUAAGAUGUUUUUUAACUUUAUUUAAA